rnacentral:rRNA from 1 species
GACGAACCGUGCAAACGUUAUUCGGAAUCACGGGGCUUAAAGGGCGCGUAGGCGGGCCGCCCGGUCCGGGGUGAAAUCCUCCAGCUCAACUGGAGAAGUGCCUUGGAUACCGGCGGCCUCGAGGGAGGCAGGGGCGUGCGGAACUUCGGGUGGAGCGGUGAAAUGCGUAGAUAUCCGAAGGAACACCGGUGGCGAAAGCGGCGCGCUGGACCUCUUCUGACGCUGAGGCGCGAAAGCCAGGGGAGCAAACGGG